AUUGAACGCUGGCGGCAGGCCUAACACAUGCAAGUCGAACGAGUGGCGGACGGGUGAGUAAUGUCUGGGAAACUGCCCGAUGGAGGGGGAUAACUACUGGAAACGGUAGCUAAUACCGCAUACCAUCGGAUGUGCCCAGAUGGGAUUGGCUAGUAGGUUGGGGAACGGCUCACUUGGGGGACGAUCCCUAGCUGGUCUGAGAGGAUGACAAGCAACACUGGAACUGAGACACGGUCCAGACUCCUACGGGAGGAAGCAGUGGGGAAGAGUGGACAAUGGGCGAAAGCCUGAUGGAGACAUGCGGCGUGUAUGAAGAAGGCCUUCGGGUUGUAAAGUACGUUCGGCGAGGAGGCGUUACUCGCAGAGGAAGCACCGGCUAACUCCGUGCCAGCAGCCGCGGUAAUAC
rnacentral:rRNA from 1 species